AAAUCAAAAGAGAUUUUGCCGAAAUUAGUGAAGCUUGAAGAAGAACAUUCGAGAAGUUGAGAGAGAGAGAGAGUAAUGUGGGGUGGGGGAAGUAUUUAUAUAUAGAGAGAUAAAAACUAACUUUUGCUGAUCAUGUAACUAACCCCACAUUUACAUCUAAUUACAUUUAAUUCUCAAUUAAGCAUAAUAUCAAUAAAAAUGUUAACUUACUCUAAUAGCACCAAAAAAUUAGUCGGAGAAUAUGUACAUAUGUGUAUAUAUAUAUAUAUCUUAGUGCCAAACUAAAAAUGUAUAAGUAGAUAUAUAUGGGGUUGACAAGCAAAAGAAAGACAGUAUCUUACUUUGGUCUCGUGGAGUGUUUGCUACUUUGAGAACCAUACAAUUAUG
rnacentral:lncRNA from 1 species